AUUGAACGCUGGCGGCAGGCCUAACACAUGCAAGUCGAGCGGAUGAAGGGAGCUUGCUCCUGGAUUCAGCGGCGGACGGGUGAGUAAUGCCUAGGAAUCUGCCUGGUAGUGGGGGAUAACGUCCGGAAACGGGCGCUAAUACCGCAUACGUCCUGAGGGAGAAAGUGGGGGAUCUUCGGACCUCACGCUAUCAGAUGAGCCUAGGUCGGAUUAGCUAGUUGGUGGGGUAAAGGCCUACCAAGGCGACGAUCCGUAACUGGUCUGAGAGGAUGAUCAGUCACACUGGAACAGAGACACGGUCCAGACUCCUACGGGAGGCAGCAGUGGGGAAUAUUGGACAAUGGGCGAAAGCCUAAUCCAGCCAAGCCGCGUGUGUGAAGAAGGUCUUCGGAUUGUAAAGCACUUUAAGUUGGGAGGAAGGGCAGUAAGUUAAUACCUUGCUGUUUUGACGUUACCAACAGAAUAAGCACCGGCUAACUUCGUG
rnacentral:rRNA from 1 species